UACGUAGGGUGCGAGCGUUGUCCGGAAUUAUUGGGCGUAAAGAGCUUGUAGGCGGUUUGUUGCGCCUGCUGUGAAAAUCCGGGGCUCAACUCCGGACUUGCAGUGGGUACGGGCAGACUAGAGUGUGGUAGGGGAGACUGGAAUUCCUGGUGUAGCGGUGGAAUGCGCAGAUAUCAGGAGGAACACCGAUGGCGAAGGCAGGUCUCUGGGCCACUACUGACGCUGAGAAGCGAAAGCAUGGGGAGCGAACAGG
rnacentral:rRNA from 1 species